rnacentral:rRNA from 1 species
GGAGCCAUCCUUGGGAUACCACCCUUGUAGUACUUGGACUCUAACCAUAGGCCAUGAAUCUGGUCUUGGGACACUGUCAGGUGGGCAGUUUGACUGGUGCUGUCGCCUCCCAAAAGGAAACGGAGGCGCUCAAAGGUUCUCUCAGUACGGUCGGAAAUCGUACGUAGCGUGUAAAGGCAAACGUGAGCCUGAUUGCAAGACAUACAGGUCGAGCAAGGAUGAAAAUCGGACUUAGUGAUCCGGUGGUUCUGCGUGGAAGGGCCAUCGCUCAACGGAUAAAAGCUACCCUGGGGAUAA